UGAAACUUUUGAUUCGCUUCUUUACAGCCAUUUUAAAUUACAAAUGAUAAAAACCAAUUUUCUUUUAAAAACAAAAAACUUACGUGCUUACAUAAACCUAACUCCUGAAGCAAAUUAACUAUUUCUGAAGCAGACGAACUAUAUGACUAACUAAAUUUUGCCCAUUGUUUUGAAAAGUACUGUCACUGGCAUCGCCAUCUAAUGGAAAUUCUGACAGGAAAAUAGCUUUUUUUUUUUCAAUAACACGUUUUUUGUAAAAAAUUUACAUGAUUUGGAUUAAAAAUUCAACAAAAAUUACAAAAAAACAAUACAAUUUAAAAAACAGUCGGACUUACUUCUUUUUUCAUGGAGAAGUGAGAGGAUUUCAAGUUGGGUUUCAAAGUAGAUGGUGCCACUGCUGCAUAUUUUCUAGACAUAACAGAAGCUGUUUCAUUUCUGGUCUAGCGUCCACGGAGAAUACCUGCGUCAUGAAGUUCUUGUUAAAAUUACACUCCUGAUGUCGUGUGGUUUUACCUGGAAUUUAGCGUCUCAGAACUCUGCCCGAUGUGCUCUGAUGGCCACAGGACCAUGUUUGUGACAGAAUGCAAUGCCACAGAUGUUUUGUUGCCACUGUAAAUAAAAGAUUUUUAGUGUCACUCUUGUGUUGAUGAAUUGCUAGCUCACACGUAAGAAGUAUAAGGAAGUUCAAGAUUUUGGUCUCGUCAUUGUGGUCAUUGAUGACUGUUUGUCAUAUGGUGGAGGCUACUGUUAAAAUGGAAAUAAAAAAAAUUCCUUUAGUCAUGAA